rnacentral:rRNA from 1 species
AACGAACGCUGGCGGCAUGCCUAACACAUGCAAGUCGAACGAGACCUUCGGGUCUAGUGGCGCACGGGUGCGUAACGCGUGGGAAUCUGCCCUUGGGUUCGGAAUAACAGCGAGAAAUUGCUGCUAAUACCGGAUGAUGACGUAAGUCCAAAGAUUUAUCGCCCAAGGAUGAGCCCGCGUAGGAUUAGCUAGUUGGUGAGGUAAAGGCUCACCAAGGCGACGAUCCUUAGCUGGUCUGAGAGGAUGAUCAGCCACACUGGGACUGAGACACGGCCCAGACUCCUACGGGAGGCAGCAGUGGGGAAUAUUGGACAAUGGGCGAAAGCCUGAUCCAGCAAUGCCGCGUGAGUGAUGAAGGCCUUAGGGUUGUAAAGCUCUUUUGUCAGGGAAGAAACGGUGAGUUCUAAUAAAGCUUGCUAAAUGACGGUACCUGAAGAAUAAGCACCGGCUAACUACGUGCCAGCAGCCGCGGUAAU